UGAUAGCGAUGAAGCGUGAGGUUGCCGUUAUUGAUGUGCCCGAAGCCUCUGCCUGGGCUAAAAGCGCAGAAAUACGGGUUUUUCCGCGGAGCGAAUGUCAAGUUAGGAAACUGGCGACAA
rnacentral:ncRNA from 1 species